rnacentral:tRNA from 1 species
GGGGACGUAGCUCAGCCCGGUUUAAAGCGCUGCCCUGUCACGGCAGAGAUCGUGGGUUCAAAUCCCAUCGUCCCCG